CAGGGGCACUCCCCAGGGCUGUGGCUCGGUGCCAGCCCAUGGCUCCUGGCACCCAGCGGCGGGGAGCCCGUGCCAGCCGUUCCUCGAGCAUCCCAAGUCACCGAGCCCAUCCCACAGCCCCAAUGGGGAGGUGGGUGCUGGGGGGGGCAGCCCUGGCCCUGGAGGGGUUCUGGGGAGGUCGGCUGGGGGCUGGUGGGGAAGGUCUGGGGUGUUUGGGUGGGGGGACGGACGGACAGACGGACGGACGGAUGGAUGGAUGGAUGGAUGGAGCGAGCUCUGGGUACCAGGGAUGGGUGGGAGGUUGGAUGAGGGGGGAGAGCUCUGGGUGCCAGGGAGGGACAGACGGACGGACAGAUGGACAGAUGGGGGUACACUGGGUGCUCAGGGCUGGGUACACUGAGUACCAGCGAUGGGUGCAGGGGGCCCCACCAGUACAUGGCUGGGGAGGAUGGGGGGAUGCUGGUGAUGGUUGGGGGGCACCUGGGUACCGGGGAGGGGCAGCAGGAAGGAAAGGGCUCCCCGGGGACCGGGGCGGGGGCUUUAGGAGCUUCCCUGGGCCGUGGAGCGGGGGCACCGGUGAUGGGUGCAGGGGGAAGCCGGGGGGGACCCGGGUGCCAGGGGUGCAGGAGGGAGGGGGGGGGGGGGGGCCGGGGGGGGGGGGGGGGGAGGGGGGGGGGGGGGGGGGGGGUCCCCGGCCUGGGGGCGCUGCCCUGCCCGGUUCCCGGUGCCAGAUCCCGGUUCGCAGCGCCGCUUCCUGGAGCUGCCACCCGGCUCCGGUGCCGUUGACUCGGUUCCCGGUGCCGGGGUCGGGUCCCGGUGGCGGUGCCGGUCCCGGUGCCGGUUCCGGUGCCGGUUCCCGGUGCCGGCCGCCCCCGGUGCGGGCCCGCCCCGCCCCGCCGCACGUGACGCGGCGCGGCGGCAGCGAGCAGCGGGGCCCCGCUCCGCAACGCUCCGGUACCGGCUCCGCUCCGCUCCGGUACCGACCCCGGCUCCGCUCCGCUCCCGGCCCCGCCGCCCCCCCGGUAAGCGCCGCGCCGCGGGGCCCCGCCGCUGGGGUCCCCCCGGGUCCCCCCCCCGCCUCCAAUGCCGGGGUCCCCCCUCCGGUGCUGCGCCGGCCUCGGGGACACCGGGGGGAGGCUGAGGGAGGGGGGGGGCCGGGGCGGGCCCGUGCGUCCGUGACCUUCAGCCGGUACCGGCAGCAGGGGGGGGAUGCUCCGGGCCUGGGCAGAGGGACCCCGGCGGGCGGGCAGGCCCGGGGGGGGCCGUGGGGUGGCAUCAGGCUCCGUGCGCCCUCCAACCCCCCCAUAAUGGAUUCCCCCAAUUGCCCCCUCCCCGCCCUGUCCCCCACGUCCACCGCAAAAUCUGCCCCCUCCCCAAAUCUGCCCCCCCUUCACCCCCGGCAUCUGCCCCCCCCUCCCCCAACCUCAACCUUUCCGGGCCCAUUCCGGCCCCGCAAUCUGCGCCCCCCCCAUCCGCGUCCCUGCGAUCUGCCCCGCACCGUGCCCCCACCGCGGGGCUGCCCCCCCUCGGGUGCUGGCGGGGGGGGGACACGAGGACGGGGCCGGGGCAGGUGUGCACGAAGCGGGGCGAUGCUGGCACGGGGGCCGCGGUGGCACGGGGCCGGGUCACAUCGUCGCGUUUGCCGCGGGUCCCGUUCGUUCUGCCCCGGGUCGCCCCCGCCCCGUGCCCGUGUCGCGCUGUCGCCGUCCCCGCGGUGCCCGGCGCUGUCCGUGGUGCUGCCCCGCGCCGCGCCGCCACCCGCCCGCAGAGGGCGCCCUUAGGGGAGGGGGGCACUGGGGAGGGGUGGGGACGGUUCGGGGGGGUCCCAGCAGCCAGGCACCCCCCGUGUCCCCACCCGGCCCCGGCCGCUCCAGUCCCUCCGGCUCCCAGCGGCCGGCGCUUGGCUCUUUGCCAUCAGUAGGCUUCAGGGGUAACGCCGCCAGCCCAGCGGGCAGGGGCUGCGGCGGGGGGC
rnacentral:lncRNA from 1 species